AAAAAGUCAAGAAAGGGUGGAAUUACAGAAAGACCCCUCACCAAUCUCACAUAAAUAUCAGGCAUGCCUUUACAAGGGUAUUUGGUGGGUUGGAAAAAUUAUUAGUGAGGUGGGGAGCAGCAAUGUAAACCUCACCUACCCACUCCACUUCAUGCAGUUCCAAGCCUUCCUAACCCCUUAACGCACGUGCCAAUUCACACGUGACCAUUUCAUCUUGGCAUAUUCUCUUUUCCAUCCCAGGAUUCCCUGCCCGGCUGCUGCUGAAUUCGCUGGUAGGGCAGUGAAGAAGGUGAGACGGAAAGAAGAGGAUCCCCUGAUGGUGGAGGAGGGAAAGAGUCGGCAGAGCCUUUGGAUUCUAAAUAUUUUUCUUUUAAAGACGCAGUGACAAAUUCGGCUGCCACGAAUUAUUUAUCGGGGAAUGACUGGGAAGAGGAAGAUUUUGAAUUAGAUGAUGGGGAUAUACUGAGGGAGACUGUUGAUGGUAUGCCUGCAAUUGAUUUCUCAUAUAGGCGCUUUAUUCACUUAUCGAGAAGAGUAUGUUUAGCACCAUCGUUUUGAAAAUUUUAGGGAAGAGUAUCGGGGAGUUUUAGCUCAUAA